rnacentral:rRNA from 1 species
AUGAGGACUCUAUGCUGGAACUGCCGCGGGAUUGGCGACCCCACGACGAUUCGAGAGCUCCGCGAUCUAGUGGAGGCAUGUGCGCCGACGCUGCUUUGUAUUGUUGAAACUCAACUUGCGAAGUACAUGGUGGAAGGUUUGGCGGGUAGUCUAGGUUUUUCUAGUAGUUUUGCAGUAGCUAGUAGUGGUAGAAGUGGAGGUCUUUGCUUGUACUGGAAGGAUUCUAUUAAUCUUGAUAUAAAAAGCUUUUCUCAGUAUCACAUUGACUCAGUUGUGACAGAGACGGGUAAAGAACCUUGGCGGCUGUCAUGU